CAAUCGGCCCUUUUCAGGGCCACCAAAACUUUCAAACGUUGUAUU
rfam:Trachymyrmex cornetzi contig49937, whole genome shotgun sequence.